rnacentral:snoRNA from 1 species
GGGACCCCAUGAUGCCCAGCACUGGGCUCUGACCAUCUGAGGACAUGGUGCCCCCGGGCCCUUUGACACCCGGGGGUCUGAGGGGCCC